rnacentral:rRNA from 1 species
AGAGUUUGAUCCUGGCUCAGGAUGAACGCUGACAGAAUGCUUAACACAUGCAAGUCGAUGGGGAAGUGGUGCUUGCACCAUGGUAACCAUGGCGGACGGGUGAGUAACGCGUAAGGAACUUGCCUGCGGGACCGGGAUAACAGCAGGAAACUGCUGACAAGACCGGAUAAGGUCAUUAAGCUGCAUAGCUUAGUGAUGAAAGGAGACGCCUGCGGAGAGCCUUGCGUCCUAUUAGCUAGUUGGAGGGGUAACGGCCCACCAAGGCGAAGAUAGGUAGCCGGCCUGAGAGGGUGGACGGCCACAAGGGGACUGAGAUACGGCCCUUACUCCUACGGGAGGCAGCAGUGGGGAAUAUUGGACAAUGGGGGCAACCCUGAUCCAGCAAUUCUGUGUGCACGAAGACGGUUUUCGGAUUGUAAAGUGCUUUCAGCAGGGAAGAAGGAAGUGACGGUACCUGCAGAAGAAGCGACGGCUAAAUACGUGCCAGCAGCCGCGGUAAUACGUAUGUCGCGAGCGUUAUCCGGAAUUAUUGGGCAUAAAGGGCAUCUAGGCGGCCUUUCAAGUCAGGGGUGAAAACCUGCGGCUCAACCGCAGGCCUGCCUUUGAAACUGAUAGGCUGGAGUACCGGAGAGGUGGACGGAACUGCACGAGUAGAGGUGAAAUUCGUAGAUAUGUGCAGGAAUGCCGAUGAUGAAGAUAGUUCACUGGACGGUAACUGACGCUGAAGUGCGAAAGCCGGGGGAGCAAACAGGAUUAGAUACCCUGGUAGUCCCGGCCGUAAACGAUGAUUACUGGGUGUGGGCAGGAAGACUGUCUGUGCCGAAGCGAAUGCGAUAAGUAAUCCGCCUGGGGAGUACGGCCGCAAGGCUGAAACUCAAAGGAAUUGACGGGGACCCGCACAAGCGGUGGAGCAUGU